rnacentral:lncRNA from 1 species
AAGAAAAGAAGAAGAAGAAGAAGAGGAUAAGUAGGAGAAAGAAGAAGAAGAAGAAAAGGAAGAAAAUGAAGAAGAGGAGGAAGAAGAAGAAUCAGAAAAGGAAGAAAAGGAAGAAGAGGAGGAAGAAGAAGAAGAAGAGAAGAUGAGAAGAGCAGGAGAGGAAAAAUAAUAAGAAGAAGAAUAAGAAGAAAAGGAGAAGAGCAGAAAAAAGAAGAGGAAAA